rnacentral:rRNA from 1 species
GAUGAACGCUAGCGGCAGGCUUAACACAUGCAAGUCGAGGGGUAUAUGUCUUCGGAUAUAGAGACCGGCGCACGGGUGCGUAACGCGUAUGCAAUCUACCUUUUACAGAGGGAUAGCCCAGAGAAAUUUGGAUUAAUACCUCAUAGUAUAGCUCUACCGCAUGGUAGUACUAUUAAAGUCACAACGGUAAAAGAUGAGCAUGCGUCCCAUUAGCUAGUUGGUAAGGUAACGGCUUACCAAGGCAACGAUGGGUAGGGGUCCUGAGAGGGAGAUCCCCCACACUGGUACUGAGACACGGACCAGACUCCUACGGGAGGCAGCAGUGAGGAAUAUUGGACAAUGGGCGCAAGCCUGAUCCAGCCAUGCCGCGUGCAGGAUGACGGUCCUAUGGAUUGUAAACUGCUUUUGUACGAGAAGAAACACUGCUUCGUGAAGCAGCUUGACGGUAUCGUAAGAAUAAGGAUCGGCUAACUCCGUGCCAGCAGCCGCGGUAAUACGGAGGAUCCAAGCGUUAUCCGGAAUCAUUGGGUUUAAAGGGUCCGUAGGCGGUUUAGUAAGUCAGUGGUGAAAGCCCAUCGCUCAACGGUGGAACGGCCAUUGAUACUGCUGAACUUGAAUUAUUAGGAAGUAACUAGAAUAUGUAGUGUAGCGGUGAAAUGCUUAGAGAUUACAUGGAAUACCAAUUGCGAAGGCAGGUUACUACUAAUUGAUUGACGCUGAUGGACGAAAGCGUGGGGAGCGAA